rnacentral:lncRNA from 1 species
GGUUACGUCAGGUUGAUUUAAGAUUUUUUUGCUUCUAAGGGUUAUAAUCGAUUUGGCAUGUUCGGAAAAAGUUUCAGGACUAGUGGAGCUCUCAGCCAUGUACUGUCAUUUUGGGUUAUUGAUGGACUGACUUGAUAAUUUACCUUCCUCUCUUCUACUAAAAGAAGUUGCUAACUGAUCUAUCUAGGUUUCUAGCUUUGCUAUUGAUUGCGUA